rnacentral:rRNA from 1 species
UACGGAGGGAGCUAGCGUUGUUCGGAAUUACUGGGCGUAAAGCGCGUGUAGGCGGCCCUGCAAGUCGGGUGUGAAAUCCCACGGCUCAACCGUGGAAGUGCACUCGAAACUGCAGGGCUAGAGUCCUGGAGAGGAAGGUGGAAUGCUUGGUGUAGAGGUGAAAUUCGUAGAUAUCAAGCGGAACACCGGUGGCGAAGGCGGCCUUCUGGACAGUGACUGACGCUGAGACGCGAAAGCGUGGGGAGCAAACAGG